UACGGAGGGGACUAGCGUUGUUCGGAAUUACUGGGCGUAAAGCGCACGUAGGCGGAUUUGUAAGUCAGGGGUGAAAUCCCGAGGCUCAACCUCGGAACUGCCUUUGAUACUGCGAAUCUCGAGUCCGGAAGAGGUGAGUGGAAUUCCUAGUGUAGAGGUGAAAUUCGUAGAUAUCGGGAGGAACACCAAUGGCGAAGGCAGCUCGCUGGGACGUGACUGACGCUGAGACGCGAAAGCGUGGGGAGCAAACAGG
rnacentral:rRNA from 1 species